UACUCUCCUUAAUCUCUCACGUCUCUCUCUCUCUCCCUCCCAUGAUCUCAUGUCUCUCUUCCUCCCUCACAUCUCUCUUCCCCCGCAUGGAAAACAGAUCUGUUCUCUCAUGAUCUCACGUCUCUCUUCUUUCCCAUAUGAAAACAGAUAUAUGUUUCUCAUAAAUAGGAGCAAAGAAGUUGGGUAUGAAUCCUACUCAUGGACUUACCACAUUAAAUUUUUGUUCCUCAUCUAAAUCAGGUUUCUCUUCUCACACAGAUUUGUUUUAAUUUUUUUAUCGGAUUAUCAUUGAAUCGACCGUAUAACUUUUGGUGGAUUCAGACUCAAUAUUUUCCUAUCACGCCCUUUAAAAGUGCUAUACCUAGGGAUCCAAUUCCAAAUCCUCUCACGCUCUUUGGAUAGCUCAUGGACAUCAGCUCGGAGCACAGAUGGGCCCAUGAGGUUAGCUUAUAUAUUCAACCUGUGGCCUAACACAAACUGUGUCAGCAUCAAGGAGCCUCUGUCGGUUGUCAGUUGAUCAAGCUUCUCAUGUCAGGUCACUCCUUUUUUCCUUCAAAAAUGAUGGCAUACAAUAUGCUCGAUGCGAUUACCAAUGGAAAGGAAUCCUGGAAAGUGAAGGUCAGAGUAAUUAGGCUAUGGGAUGCAUUAACCUCAACAACAAUGAACUUAUUAGCCUUGACAUGAUACUACUUGAUGAAAAUGUCAGCUCAUUGGUAAAAGAAUAUGGUUUUCCAACAUAGAUAGGUCACUAUGAGUUAUAUAUCGAUGCAUCUCCUCACUAUAUUAUUACUCCCUCCGUCCGGAAAUACUUGUCAUUGAAAUGAAUGUAUCUAGAUGUAUUGUAGUUCUAGAUACAUCCAUUUUCAUCCAUUUUGAUGACAAGUAAUUCCGGACGGAGGGAGUAUGUUUCAGGGCACACUAUGAUACACAACAUGGUAAUGAAACAUAUGGUUAACAAGUUUAGGCCACUGGUCCAAGAAUGAUGAUCACAUGAUGGAUUUUGAUGUUAUAAUAUUAUUAGUUUACUGCAGUCUCGGCAAAUUGAUUUUUGUUGAUAGAUAUGGUGGAACAGGAAAGAUGUUUCUGUGGAAAGCAUUUACGACAAAACUAAGGUCCGAAGGAAAGAUACUUCUAGCAGUAGCUUCAAGUGGUAUAGCAGCACCUCUUUUACAGGGUGGAAGCACAGCUCAUUCAAGAUUCCACAUUCCACUCAAGAUCACUAACGAGUACACAUGCGACAUCAAGCUAGGAACAUUUCUUGCGGAACUAAUAACGAGAACUUCGUUGAUAAUAUGGGAUGAAGCACCUAUGACACACAAGCACUGACAAGAGUUUGAGAGACAUACUUCGAUUCACAAAUGAGGAUGCCGAGCAUAGAACAUUUGGAGGAAUGACUAUAGUCUUGGGAGGCGACUUCAGGAAAAUCCUACCGGCUAUACCAAUGGGGAAAAGGGAACAUAUUUGUUUCCGCAUAUAUAAAGAGAUCCUACCUAUUGAAGAACUUUCAGGAGUACCGACUCACAAAAAAUAUGUGUCUGAAUUCAUCUGAAGGUAGUCCAGUAAAGAAAGCAAAGCCGGCGGAAUUUCCAAGCUGGAUGCAAAACAUCGGCAAUGGCGCAGCAACAACAACAAAUGAAGAAGAUUGGAUUAGCAUCCCAGAAGACCUUAUUUUACAUGAAGGAGAUAACCCCAAAGCAUCCAUUGUUAAUAGCAUCUAAUACCCUGACUUACAAAGCAGGUACACUCAUAGAACAUACCUAGAGAAAGAGCGAUCAUGUGCCCAAGAAACAAGAUUGUCGACGAGAUUAACACCCACAUCAUGAGUCAAAUCCUGGAGAAGAGAUCAUGAACUGAGGCUGAAAGUUGGAUUUUUCCAGUAAUGCUUAUGAGAAAAAUCAACCAAAGUGCGGGACUUUGCAAUGGGACAAGACUAACAAUAACAUAGUUAGGAAGGCAGUUCAUCGAAGGCCAGGUCAUAAACGGACCAAACGUUGCUGAGAGAAUACCCAAUAUCAGUGUGAUUUUGCUAUGACUAUUAACAAAAGUCAGGGGCAAUCUCUGAAAAAGGUUGGGCUGUAAUUAUAAAGGUAAAUGUUCACACAUGGUCAACUAUAUGUUGCAUAUACUCACAGCUUAUGAAGAGCGUCCAUUCGGCAGCGUUGCAAAAAACAUUAUUUAGAAGAAUUUAUUAUAGAUAUUUGAUUUAUUGCCGCUAUGAUUAGAACAAGCAGAAUCAUUCUUAUUUGUCUAAAUGUAAUGCGGACAUAGCUGCCUUUUCUGUUUAAAACUAUUGUCUCUGCAAUAUUAUAUUUGUGAACAAGGUACUUCUAUCUGCAUCUACAUCUAAACAAAAAUAUUGGUUUAAGGGCUCACAACUGAUUUGAGAAAACCAAGAUGCGAAUGUAUGCAUCGCCAUGUGUAGUUCAGACGAGGAGACAGACUCACUAAAGAUUACUUUAAACCAAGUCCUAAAGUUACAUAAGCAUAGACGAAGAAAGACCCUUUUCU